rnacentral:lncRNA from 1 species
CUCUUCAAGAAUUACCUCUUUCUGACAUUUCACUUAUCUUCCUACAUGUAAUUGCAGGUCCUUGGGAUUUGGAAUAAACAACUAAGAUCCAUGAUGUAUGUAUAGAGGCAGACUGUGUGAUGUGUCCCUCCAGAGCAUCAUGAACUUGGCCUCAUAUGAUUGACUCUCUCAGUUUCUCUCCCGUUCAUCAGCCAUUUUCUAUUCUAUUACUAUGAAGACAGCCUUAAGUGGCUCCAAAUAAAUUGCCUUUCUGGCCAUCUGCUCC